UUGAUCGGUCAAAGGAGUUGUUGAUUAGAAUUGCUGAAAGCUUUUCAACCCCUAAAUCACUAAUCGUUGCGGCUCAGUUAUCUGAAUGGAUUAACCUGUUUUAAAGACUGUACUAUGAUAUAUUCUUUCAUGAUUUUUGCCCUUUUCUUUAGAAUUCAGGUUGCAGAGAGAUGGAAUAAGAUGGCGGAGCGGAAGAGAUUUUUGAUAAUUAGAAGGAAAUUUAGCGUAUGUAUGUUGAAGACCAGUCACCCACUGCUUCGAAUCUAACAGAAUCUGCUAUGUUUUGGAUUUUGAUGAAGCAACUGCAGAACUGGAUACCCUAGGAGAGGAUUCUUACAAGGACAACCCCGUGAUUAUGAAGCUUCUUCGCGAUAACCUCACGUUGUGGACUUACGACUUGCAGGGGAGUAGUGCGAAGGAAAUUAAAGAAGAACCUAAGGCCGGCAAGUAACGACUUUCCUUUUUUCCUCACGACCGAUAUAUGGUUUGUAACUGUUUGCUUUUUUUAUUGUAAAAAAUGCUAUGCUUUACGAGUAUCGAGCAGUAGGAAUUUCAUGAAUUUGUAUUCUGAAUAUUAUGCCUAAUUUUAUUGUGAAAAUUAAGCAGCAUCACCAACUAUUCAGAUGAACCACGCUCCUCUUACACAUUUGAUCGAACAGGGUAUAGGCGAGUGUAAAGUCGAAUCUGAUAGUUUUUUAUGUCUGUUGAAUCGAGCCAGGCUCUCGAAUGAAUUACAGUUAUUUGAAAUUGAUUAACAACUCCUACACCAGGUAUAAUGUUGAUUAGAGUGAGAUAUUGAAGUGGUAACUAUGAGGCUGCACUUAUGAAGGAGAUAAAAUUGUUAUUUAUAGCUUUAACCAAUGACCGUGAUAUCACGUUAAGACUCCGUCUUUUGUCAGGAGGUUUGUUGUAUCCGAUGUCCGGAGG